UCUUCAAUAUAAACUUGCUCUUAACCAACUUAGAUAUAUGAUAUUUAGCAAACACAAAGAACACUGAAGGAAGUUUAAUGUGGUACAGUAAUUUCUUGCAUAAGGAUACAAACUGCCGCUGCAACUAUAAUCUAAGAGCAAUACAGUUGAAGUGGGUUCUCAAAGACUGCCUGUGCCCCAGUGUGCUAUACUGUAUGUUUAGAGGCUAAGGGCAAAUUGGAUGCAUUUUGUGACGAAAAUUGCUCUGUACCAGCUAAAUCAGUGCUGUGACAAAAAAUAAGGCAACUUGUAAAGUUAAACGUAUUGGAUAAAGUGACAUCAGACACUUUGGUUCACGUCUACUGUAUACUGAUAAAAUCUGUGGACUCACCAUUCUAAGGGGAAAAGCCAACAUGAAGUUUCCAGAUUCAAAUCAGACAUUCAAUGAAUCUUAUGACUAUGACUUCCCGGAGCGGCGGUGGUAACACGCAUCGCGUCUGGUUGCUUGGCAACGGAAUGACGUCACUGACGGGCGCCGCUGGCCCAGCCCCGGAGCGCGGAUGCGACUCGCCGCUGGCGUCCGGAAGCAGAACGAGGGGAGAUCAUACACUGGUGCCUAUUUAGGUGAGUACA